AGACCAUGUUGUGGACAUUGCCUCAAAAGAUCAUUUUAUCUUCCCAGCUUCAUAUAAUGUUUCCUCAUCUUGUUGAGUGAAAGAGGCUAUGUCAUGUUGAAGUUU